rnacentral:lncRNA from 1 species
AGGAAAUCUACAUGCAGAGAGUCCGAAGAGUGUUCCAGGUUGAGAAACCAGCACAUGCAAAGGCCCCAGGUGAAAGAGCGUGAAGCAAGGAAGAUUAGCCCUGAGCUAACAUCUGCUGCCAAUCCUCCUCUUUCUGCUGAGGAAGACUGGCCCUGAGCUAACAUCCAUGCCCAUCUUCCUCGACUUUAUACAUGGGACGCCUACCACAGCAUGGGUGCCUAAGCGGUGCCAUGUCCGCACCUGGGAUCCGAACCAGUGACCCCCAGGUCGCUGAAGCGGAACGUGCGAACUUAACAGCUGAGCCACCGGGCUGGCCCCACCCUCAACUUUUAUAAUGUCAGGAGCAAUGGAGCACCAGUGUUAGGAGAACCUACCUCCCCUGGCUCCAUCAAAGCCACAGACCCAUGAGAACCAUCCAGCCUAGCCUGAGCCACACGCCCGGAGGCCACAGCCUGUGUGCAGGAAAGUGAGAGGAAGUGGAAACGUGUGAGCAGAGGGCUCAAAGCAACGGGCUCACCACCGGAAAAAAAAAUAAAAAUAAACACGCUCAGAAAUAGUGUAACUGAUAUGCAAAGAAGAUCAAAACAAGGGUUUUAAAAUAUCUUGGCUGCUUUAGAGGGGGUAGGGAUGGUAAAUGAAGCGAGGUUGCAAAUGUAUGUUAGGGGAGGGGGGCGGUUAAGGAUGAUUGACAGCAGCCUGCCAGGCCAUGGAAGCCUGGAACCCAAGGGUACUUCAGACAAAAAU